GCAGAUGCAGGAGGACAGUGAAUAAAGCUGUUCAAGCAGAGAAGCUGGUGGGUGAGUCAGAGCAUGGCUGGCCUGAGAGGAAGUCGGGCAUCCAGAGGAAGAGCCUUUGCUUCUGGGUAAACAAGAGGACCACAGUGCCAGCUCUUCAGUUAUCUGCAUCUCGCCAGGAAGGCCGAGCCUCUCCAAGCUGGGUUCUGAUGAAGUUGCUCUUUCAUCUGCAGGACCCUCUUGGCAAGAAUUCGGGCAGCACACUGUGAAUCCAAGUGCCAAGACAACUUCUGCAAACUCCAGGGUUGAGACAGCCCACAGAAAAGGCUGUGCCACCAAAACUAAGGGCUGCCAACAUCAUCCAUGCCUUCCCAACCCAUCCUGCUGGCCACUGCUCCACCUCCACAGGUGCUCACAUGUGUGUUCUACAACCUCACAGAUGUCUGCAUCUUGUGAUUUUUCCAAGGUAUGUGUCCCGUUCCUUUUGGGAAAAGUCUCACCCUUUUUGUUCUGUUGUGAUGGAAUCAUGAUCUUUGGAGGCUCCUUUGGAGGAAAUCUGCAAACUUGGAUCAGCCCAGCCCAACC
rnacentral:lncRNA from 1 species